GUUCUUGCUCUGGCGCUGUCCACAGGGGGAUCUGGCCCUGGCGCUGUAAACAUGAAAAUCUGGAUCUGGCGCUGUCCACGGGAUAUCUGGAUCUUGCGCUGUCCACGGAUAUCCCACGUUCCGCUUAGCGCGGCUUCGGUGACUGACCAAGAUACUAGGCAGCAGCAGUUCUUACGAUUACUGCGCCAUCUGAUGCGCCAUGUGCGUCGCGGUGGCUUGGGCAGAUAGGGAGCUUUGUGUAUUUUCCUUCAGGGUCAAACAAACCUGGACAGCAAAUCAAACUGUAUGUUUUAAAAAGUGGUUAUUCAUGAGCGUCAAUGUUAAAAUUGUUUUACCUGCACUGGCCAGAAACAGCUUUGCUUUGUAAUUUAGCGAUAAAACGAAGAUGCUUCUAGAUAUCUUGAGUUCAGUUUGUAAUAUUCACGCACUGCACUAUACCAGGGUUGUCUUGACUAGCGAAACACGCGCCCCGCCUACGAACUGAGAGUAUGAGCAAAAAGCCAUAUUCUCAUUAAAACUGUGCAAAACGGACAGCAAGAAGAAACCAGUGUAUAAACACUCAUAGAACGUACCUGGUACUGGUAUGAAAAACUAUCUGUUUAUUGCCAACUGUCAUUUCACACAAGAUAUGUAACUUCCGCUACGCAAGGAAUAAGAUCCAUCAUUCGAUAACUUCGAUGGCUUACAAUUUCAAACAAUCCUCACGGUUAGACAUUAUUUAUUUUAUUAUAUUCCAAAAUAAGGAAUCAGAUUUUUUGAUUGGUUGCUCUUUCUCUUUUCUCUUUUUCUUUUGCAUUGUGUUUGAGAAACUUUGGGAUUCCUGUGUACGCUGCCGGUCACAUGGAAGCACCAUGAAAAACAUUCCGAGAUCGCAAGCCAAAGCGAGUUAAAAAGCGUUUUUAUGCGUUUGUAGAGGACCAAGCAUUUAUAAAAAACGAUGCCUAUCAAGAACUUUCCCAAGCUGAGCGUUGUAUCGAGGAGGGAGCUUCUGCAAAAGCCAAAUUUCCCUGCGAAUUCAGCAGUUGGUGUCAUAGUUAGCCCAAGUUGAAAGGUCAAUUACCUGUGAAGUGUUGUAUCUUUUUGGCGCUGUCAACGCUCCGGAUUUUAUUAUCCACAAAGUUUUAUUUCAGAUUCUAGGCAAGUAAGUGACUGUCUUUUAGGAAAAAUGACCAUUUUUGAUAGAGCAAUGUACCAGAUGCGACUUUUAAGGCCUCAAUUUGUCGGUUUGAUGAUCGUGCAAAAUGAUGGUGCGAGGCUAUAUUUGAGAAAAUGUGUCAAAUAUUCUAUUUUAACUGGAUUAAGCCGAUAUUAAAAUAAUAUUGAGAACACAUAUCCUGGUUACCUCCUGUGGUGUUGUUGUGUUUCUGCGCUGUUUAUUUUUCGCGCUGCAGGUAGCGAUACUUGGUUCAAAUU